rnacentral:misc_RNA from 1 species
GUGAAUCAUCAAAUCUUUGAACGCAAAUUGCACUCCCUGGUAUUCCGGGGAGUAUGCCUGUUUGAGGGUCGUUAGAACAAUAAUCGAAGCGUCGCUCUUUUUUGUUUUGGGUGAUCGCGUCGGAAUUGAGCCGUCUAUCAGAUGUUAAUUCAUGUCAAUGGGGUUGGAAAUUAAUCCAUCUGGUGCGAUUAGAGCGUAUUGAAGAGCAAGUUUGAUCAAGAAGGCGCGAUGUA